AUGGUUAAGUUUCUCAUGUUUGCACGAUGGAAAAAAUUGGAUUCUGUGUGGACACAUUCUGUUUGGAGAGAUAUGACAGUUUGUUUUUUUAAGCACAUUAGAACCUUUUUUUCUGAGAUGGCCUCAUCGCUGAUGGCAUGGUCCAUUCGUAUGAGUGCGGUGGCCCAACCUGUAUGUUUUUUCUUAUUAAUGAUGCAUGAUGCCAUGUGUGUUUCUGAUCCCUCACGGGUUGGUCCAAGCAUUGGGGUUGUGGUUGGGAUCGUGAAAAUCAACGUGAAGCCGUCAUUGGACGCUAUGGACCCACAUCAUUUACGAAGAUCUAAUGGUUGGACUUAUCUUUAUUUUGACCCACCUGGUUUACAAAUAUAUAAUAAUUGGAUUUUAUUGUCUUACGGCAUGGACUCACCUGGUUUACGAAGAUCUAAUUAUUGUGGGAUUUACUAA
rnacentral:rRNA from 1 species